GUGGCGCUAUGCUGUUGGUGACGGUGGUGGCCGCCGCGGCGCUGCUGGGGGCGUGUGGGGCUGAGACCCCCACCCCGGAGACGCCCCUGGCCCCAUUGACGCUGUGGGGCCGCGUGGAGGAGGCGGCCAAGAACUUCAGCGACCGCCUGUGGGGCAGCGAUGUGGGGCAGACCGUGCAGUCGCUGCUGACGGUGCUGCGCUCGGAGGCGGCGGACGCGCGGCUCCGCGUUGCGGAGUACGGGGCGGAGGUGGAGCAAAGCGUCGCCUCCCUCAGCAAACGCCUCCGCCGCCGUUUCUCCCGCGACGGCGAAGAGCUCCGCUCCCGGUGGGGCCAAUACCGCCAAGCCGUGCAAG
rnacentral:misc_RNA from 1 species